rnacentral:rRNA from 1 species
CCCCUAGAUGUUCUGGGCCGCACGCGCGCUACACUGAACAGUUCAACAAGUCUUAACCUUGGCCGAUAGGUCUGGGUAAUCUUUGAACGCUGUUCGUGAUUGGGAUAGACCUUUGCAAUUAUGGGUCUUCAACGAGGAAUUCCUAGUAAACGCAAGUCAUCAGCUUGCAUUGAUUACGUCCCUGCCCUUUGUACACACCGCCCGUCACACCUACCGAUUGAAUGGUCCGGUGAAAUCUCGGGACGGCGGCUUGGUCGCUUGCGUCCGACUGCUGAAACUUGAUUAAACCAUAUCAUUUAGAGGAAGGUGAAGUCGUAACA